rnacentral:rRNA from 1 species
UGGCGAACGGGUGAGUAACACGUGGGUGAUCUGCCCUGCACUUUGGGAUAAGCCUGGGAAACUGGGUCUAAUACCGGAUAGGAGCCAUUUUUAGUGUGAUGGUUGGAAAGUUUUUUCGGUGUAGGAUGAGCUCGCGGCCUAUCAGCUUGUUGGUGGGGUAAUGGCCUACCAAGGCGGCGACGGGUAGCCGGCCUGAGAGGGUGGACGGCCACAUUGGGACUGAGAUACGGCCCAG